rnacentral:rRNA from 1 species
ACACUCUCAACUUUUUUAGAAGAGAAGCAUUUAUUAGAUAAAAAAUUAAUGCAUGUUUUUAUAACAUGAAAAUUAGUGAUUUACAAUAACUGAGCAAAUCGCAUAGUGAAAACUGGCGAUGCAUCAUUCAAGUUUCUGACCUAUCAGCUUUCGACGGUAUGGUAUUGGCUUACCGUGGCAGUGACGGUUAACGGGGGAUUAGGGUUCGAUUCCGGAGAGGGAGCCUGAGAAACGGCUACCACAUCUAAGGAAGGCAGCAGGCGCGCAAAUUACCCAAUUCUAACAGCAUAAGAGAGGUAGUGACAAGAAAUAACAGUACAAGGCAGUUAAAAUGUUUUGUAAUUGGAAUGAUAGAAAUUUAAACACUUUUUAAAGUAUCAAUUGGAGGGCAAGUCUGGUGCCAGCAGCCGCGGUAAUUCCAGCUCCAAUAGCGUAUAUUAAAAUUGUUGCAGUUAAAAAGCUCGUAGUUGAAUUUUUGCUAGAAAUAACCGGUCUGCUUUUAUUAACUAAGAGUGGUAUCUUGGUGUGUUUUUAGCAAUAAUGUC